GAUGAAGAACGCAGCGAAAUGCGAUAAGUAAUGUGAAUUGCAGAAUUCAGUGAAUCAUCGAAUCUUUGAACGCACAUUGCGCCCGCCAGUAUUCUGGCGGGCAUGCCUGUUCGAGCGUCAUUACAACCCUCAGGCCCCCGGGCCUGGCGUUGGGGAUCGGCGGAGCCCCCCGUGGGCACACGCCGUCCCCCAAAUGCAGUGGCGGUCCCGCCGCAGCUUCCAUCGCGUAGUAGCUAACACCUCGCGACUGGAGAGCGGCGCGGCCACGCCGUAAAACACCCAACUCUUCUGAAGUUGACCUCGAAACAGGUAGGAAUACCCGCUGAACUUAAGCAUAUCAAUAAGCGGAGGA
rnacentral:misc_RNA from 1 species